AGGACAAACGCUGGCGGAAUGUAUUAGGCAUGCAAGUCGCACGAGCCUUCGGGCUAGUGGCGGACGGGUGAGUAACACGUGGGUAACCUGCCUCGUAGUGGGGAAUAACUCGCCGAAAGGCGAGCUAAUAACCGCAUAACACCCCCGGUGAGAAUCCGGGCGGUAAAAGCUCUGGCGCUACGAGAGGGGCCCGCGGCCGAUUAGCUAGUUGGUGGGGUAAUGGCCUACCAAGGCGACGAUCGGUAGCUGGU
rnacentral:rRNA from 1 species